CAUUCCGGCCAGCCCCCUCCCCAAGACCCCCCCUUCCCCGGCCCCCCUCUCAGCUCCUUCGGGCCCGGCGGAGCGGCCCGGCCGGAGCGCCCCCCCGAGCUCGGACCAGGCCCCGGCUGCCCAGUGGGCUCAGGCCCAGAGCCCAGAGCAACCAGCACGAUAGCGUCCAGCAGCUGGAAUGCCAGCAGCAGCCCCGGGGAGGCCCGGGAGGACGGGCCCGAGGGCCUGGACAAGGGGCUGGACAACGACGCAGAGGGCGUGUGGAGCCCCGACAUCGAGCAGAGCUUCCAGGAGGCCCUGGCCAUCUACCCGCCCUGCGGCCGCCGCAAGAUCAUCCUGUCAGACGAGGGCAAGAUGUACGGUCGAAAUGAGUUGAUUGCACGCUACAUUAAAUUGAGGACCGGGAAGACUCGGACAAGAAAACAGGUGGGGAGAGGAUGCGUGCUCCAUGCCAUCUGCCCACGCGUGCGUGCUCCCUCAGCUGCCCCCUUCAGCCCCUCCCUGUCCCCCUUCCUCUCCCGAGGGACCGCACGCUCCCCGGGCUGCUCUUCCCGCGGUCGUAGAGAAAGGGGCACUGCCCUUUGCGACCAGCCACCACCCUGCCCGGGGCCUUGGGUUCAGUGACCAGAGAUGAGCCCCGUGGGGCAGCUGCAGCCUGGUGUGGUCACGGCCCGAAGUGGUGCCCCGACCAGCCGGUGGCAAUGACCCACGAGGGCAGAGCAGGGCGGCGUGGCCCAGCCGAGGGUGAGUGUGUGCUCUCAGCCAGGGGUUGAAGCUGGACCCGGCAGGGCAAGGGGGGAAGGGGCUGCCAAGCCUUUCUGGAGGAGGUAACACCCAAGAUGCAUUUUUAAGGAGGAAUUCGGGGUUUAGCCCGGCAGGGAAAAGGGGAGAAGUUCUUGAGGAAGUCGGAUAUACAUAGAAUCCCUGGGAACCCACAUGGGGCUUACGUUCUAUGAAUCCGUGUAUUCCUCACAGCAACUUCGGGAGGUAGGUCUAAUAAUUAUCUCCAUCUUCCGGAUGAAAACAUGGAGGCAGGGGGAAGUUAAGUAACUUCCUCAAGGUCACUCGGCUGCUAGGUGGUGGAUCCAGGAUUGAACCCACUGGGCAGGAAAGAGCCAUCUGUCAGCAGUGUGGGGGCUGGAGAGAGGGGUGGGAAGAGCUGAGGACAGGGAGAGAGGUUGGCCGGAGGCCUGAGGGACAGGUUUCCCCUCGGGGCAGCUGGGUGCCAUGGAAGGGACUAGAACAGGGAGUGGCGGGUGGCAUCUGUCGAGGAAUGUUGGCCCUGGAGCAGCUGGGCCAUGGAUGAGGGAGGGCCGGGCAGAGGCAGGGACGGAGGUCCCCAGCGGCAGUGGGGGCAUGGAGAGAUGACUGGGUGGCUUCCGGUCCCGGGAGGGAACCCAGAAAGGGGGCUGGUUGGGGUGGCUGACGUGCGGGGUGCCCCAGAGAGAGGCAGGCUGGGCACAGAGACCCGAGGACUGGAAGCCGCCUCUGAUCCUCGGCUCUCCCAGCCUCCCUGUCUGCUGGGGUUUGGACCUUGCACCCACCUCCAAGAUCCCCAUGUGUGCGGAUGACAGAGGCGCCAUGCCCCAUUCUGCCGUCUCAAAGGCAGGUUCCGAGUCCACCCCCUCUGUGGGAGCAGGAGCCUCCCCCAUUUGCUCAGGCAUUUAUGAACCUCUCUCCCGGGGCCAGUUUAUGUGGGACAGAUUUAUUCAGUGAGCGAAUUCUAUUUAUUUACUUGUUUGUUGGACAGAGAGAGAGAUAGCGAGAGCGGGAACACA